rnacentral:rRNA from 1 species
GAUGAACGCUGGCGGCGUGCCUAAUACAUGCAAGUCGAGCGAACGGACGAGAAGCUUGCUUCUCUGAUGUUAGCGGCGGACGGGUGAGUAACACGUGGAUAACCUACCUAUAAGACUGGGAUAACUUCGGGAAACCGGAGCUAAUACCGGAUAAUAUUUUGAACCGCAUGGUUCAAAAGUGAAAGACGGUCUUGCUGUCACUUAUAGAUGGAUCCGCGCUGCAUUAGCUAGUUGGUAAGGUAACGGCUUACCAAGGCAACGAUGCAUAGCCGACCUGAGAGGGUGAUCGGCCACACUGGAACUGAGACACGGUCCAGACUCCUACGGGAGGCAGCAGUAGGGAAUCUUCCGCAAUGGGCGAAAGCCUGACGGAGCAACGCCGCGUGAGUGAUGAAGGUCUUCGGAUCGUAAAACUCUGUUAUUAGGGAAGAACAUAUGUGUAAGUAACUGUGCACAUCUUGACGGUACCUAAUCAGAAAGCCACGGCUAACUACGUGCCAGCAGCCGCGGUGAUACGUAGGUGGCAAGCGUUAUCCGGAAUUAUUGGGCGUAAAGCGCGCGUAGCGGUUUUUUAAGUCUGAUGUGAAAGCCCGCGGCUCAACCGUGGAGGGUCAUUGGAAACUGGAAAACUUGAGUGCAGAAGGGGAAAGUGGAAUUCCAUGUGUAGCGGUGAAAUGCGCAGAGAUAUGGAGGAACACCAGUGGCGAAGGCGACUUUCUGGUCUGUAACUGACGCUGAUGUGCGAAAGCGUGGGGAUCAAACAGGAUUAGAUACCCUGGUAGUCCACGCCGUAAACGAUGAGUGCUAAGUGUUAGGGGGUUUCCGCCCCUUAGUGCUGCAGCUAACGCAUUAAGCACUCCGCCUGGGGAGUACGACCGCAAGGUUGAAACUCAAAGGAAUUGACGGGGACCCGCACAAGCGGUGGAGCAUGUGGUUUAAUUCGAAGCAACGCGAAGAACCUUACCAAAUCUUGACAUCCUUUGACAACUCUAGAGAUAGAGCUUUCCCCUUCGGGGGACAAAGUGACAGGUGGUGCAUGGUUGUCGUCAGCUCGUGUCGUGAGAUGUUGGGUUAAGUCCCGCAACGAGCGCAACCCUUAAGCUUAGUUGCCAUCAUUAAGUUGGGCACUCUAAGUUGACUGCCGGUGACAAACCGGAGGAAGGUGGGGAUGACGUCAAAUCAUCAUGCCCCUUAUGAUUUGGGCUACACACGUGCUACAAUGGACAAUACAAAGGGCAGCGAAACCGUGAGGUCAAGCAAAUCCCAUAAAGUUGUUCUCAGUUCGGAUUGUAGUCUGCAACUCGACUACAUGAAGCUGGAAUCGCUAGUAAUCGUAGAUCAGCAUGCUACGGUGAAUACGUUCCCGGGUCU